rnacentral:lncRNA from 1 species
AUGUGGUACAGAUCUUAUGCCAAUCUUCAACCUUGACAAACUACUGGGUUUUCCGCUCUCGGGCAAACGUGACCAAAAUAGAAUCCUAAAAUAAUAGUAGUAGAUUAAACUUUGAAUAAAAAACCAUUACAAUUAUUUUAAACCAAAAAAAAAAAUUCUCGCCUACAUGAUAUUUUCGCAUUAUACAACUUCCACGGACCCUAGAGUAUCUUGAAUCAACGAUCUUACCUGCUGGUGAUUUCUUUGAACUUUGCCAAUAUUUCAAUAUUCAACUCGUCGGACAGAAAGUCUAUUUCCCUUCUCCGGCAGUCCACCGGAGAAGAUCCUCGAGAAGAUUGACACCCAUCAUGUUUACAAGACAAAUUAAUUACCCUUAUUUGAGCCUUUCUACACUUGUCCAGAAUCAGAAAAAUAAACAUAAUUAAGGUAAACAUGGAAUGAAGAAUUUUUGAUACAAAUCUGUUUAUAUUUGUUCAAAAUAGAUUGACACUUUUUUCUGUACUCCUUUGUAAACUCUGUAGUUCUAAUAUUUCUAUCUUAGUUUUG